CUUUGAUAUUAGGUAAAAUUUGGUUGUACUUUAAGUUUAUAUAAUUUUUUUUUUAAAAAAUCGUCAUAGACUCAGGGCCUCUCAACUCUCUUCCUCCCUCGUAUUUCUCGGUUUCUCCAUCAAGCUUGAUGGAGCUUCUCGCUCUCGGUGCUCCACCGCUAUCCCCUUCUCCCUCCCGGUGCGACAGUGUAGCCCCCACCUACCGCAACCUACCCCUAUCGCAACCCGUGCUCCCAUAAGGAGUCAGCACUGAUUAUCGCUCCACCGCCACGCUCACCAAUCCUCCGUCGAACCCACCGAUCCACGACCAACCGCCACACCUUGAUCUCCGCAGCACCGCUACGCCGUCACUUCACUAUAUAGUUGUUAUAACAAGCCCAUGAGGUCCAGAAGUAUAGAAACUAGAAGAGGUAGAAGACCCCCAAAUCAAAGACGAUGAAGUUUUGAUCAAAUUUGAAGCAACUACACUUAAUCAAGCAGCUAUCAUUUAGAGGAAGGGCUCUUUGGAACUAUCCUGCUCUAGAAUUGAAUGUUAUGGAACUAUCCUUCUAUUUGGCAACAAUGUCACUCGCUAGAGAGUUGGUGAUCAGUCAGGUGAUCGGGUGCUCUUUCUCUACUCAGGUGCUCAGGUACUUGAAUCUGCAAUCAGGUGGGAUCAUAAUUUCUGCCUAACUAAGGUAUGAACCUCUUAAACCUGUAUCCUAAUCAAUGAAAGUGCCCAGUAGAGGUCCUAUGACAUGCAUAAGUCUACACAACAAAGGUUUAUGCAUUUGGCAGAUUGUGCUGACGAUGAUGUAGCCUCGAAGAAUUUGUCGCAGACAGUAGCUAAAAAACUGGUUCUGCUAUAGAUUGUGAUGAUGAUAUAGCCUGAUUCUGCUCUGAGUCAAAGCCUGCUUUUCCGAGUCUAUAUCAUUUUAGCAUGUUACUUUGACAUCCGUUUAAUGAGUAUCUACUAAAACAUGUUACUUGGACAUCCGUUUAAUAAGUAUUCAUUUCAUGAAAAGCAGUAAACGAAAUUGAAUUCAUUAUGACGCAUAUAAGGUUUCAAACUUUGGUCACUUGAUUAAUUUCUUUACAAUAUUUUAUGUUUGAUUUUAUACAGCUUUUUUUAACGUUGGACUCACUAAAGAACUCGAUAUUUGUCAAAUUCACAAUAUCACUGCCUUAUAUUUAUACACCCACAUAUCUUUCUAUUGGCUGUUUAUACAAUUCCCUAGCACAUUUUCAAAUAAGUUUUUUUUUUUUUUUUUUUUUUUUUGCUCUAUGCCGUAUAUAAAUGAAUCAUUAUUUUACUCUCACAAGCAAUAUUUUGGACCUACCGUUAUCUUCUCUCAUUAAUAUUAAACAACCAAAAAUUAAUAAAGUGAGCAUACAUCAUGGGGCAAAAGGGUAGGGGGGAGUAUUAUUAUUAAGUAGAUGUUUUAUGUACAUUUAUAGAUUCAACAACUCUAAACAAAACAGAAGAUGAAAAGGAAUAGAGAAUUAGAGAUAAGCUAAUAGGAGUAUUAGUAUUACGGAUUACUUCUCAUUUUUGCUUGGGCCUAUGCGGCGUUAUCUGAAUUAAUAUCUGAUGUAUGUCAUACUUGAGCCCUGCCAGAGUUUUAGUGGAUACUUAUUAAACAGAUGCCCAUGUGUUACUUGGGCAUCAUGAUCGUGAUUGUGAUAUAGACUUUGGCAGAGACAGUAGCUUAAAUGCAUAGAAGAAUUUGGUAGAGGUAGUAGCUAAAAAACUAGUUUGUGAUGGUUUUAUUUAUGUCUUUUCUGGAGUUUAUGUGACCUACAGGUACAACCUACUGGAUGGGUGCCAUCAAGGAAAGUACUUUUGAUUGUGUGAGAUUACUAAGGCUUCCUUCAGUUGGAGCCUAUUGGAUGUCUGCUGCUCUUAGUGUUGUGCGCUGCUUUCAUUGCUGUCUGCUGCUACUGUUAGUUGCUGGUCUGGUUUGCUGAUGCGUGCUGCUUUCACUGCUGUCUGCUGCAAUCUUUUGUUACUGCUAGCUACUGCAAUAUUUUGUUACUGCUAGCUACUGCAAUAUUUUGUUACUGCUAGCGGUCUAGUCUAGAGACCGAAGUUCAUGACUUUCUUUUUGUUUUGUUUAUUAGAUUACUUAGCCAAACAAAAAAAAUUGGUGUUGAUUGGAUUUUUUGUA